GAGCCAUGCCUCCCAGUCCUUUCCCUAGCUGCCAGACCGCACCACUUACCCAACAAAUUAUGCUGAUGAAGAUGGAGUACCUGGUUUGCAGCUCUGACACAGCUUGUUUUUUCUUGUAAUACACAGAAACCAUAAUUUCCUGAGUGCAGAGGAAGCUCUGUCUGGUGGAGACUCAUGUAAAAUCCAUUCCAUGAAUCUCUUGCGGAGUGCAGGCUUCUGCCUCCACUUAUCCAAAUGUCUUCCUCCUGCAGAAGACUCCUUGGCUGCUAAGCUCUUCAGCCUCUGCCUUGCUGAAUCUGGGUUUGUCCCAAAGUUGCCUAGAGGUACAGAAUGGCUGGGGCUGGGGCAGGGUGUGCGGAAAAACCAAGGCUGAGGGGGACAUCCCAGGCCCAGCAGAUGCCCUCCAGAUGGUCCUGAGGCCGGAUGCAGGAGGUGAACCUGCUGGGAGAGAGGAAGCAGGGAGCCCUGAAGUUGGAGGAAAUGUUCUCUGACGGGAAAUAUCACUCCUCUGUUGGUUCUGCUGAGCAGCGGAGAUGUACAAGGUCUGCAGAGCAGCAGUGUGGUCAGCAGCUUCCUGCAGCUCUGACACAGCAUCAAGAGUUUAAAAGUAGGAACUAAGAAAGGAAGACCAACAUUUACUUCCACGCCCAUGUGAAAAAUCCUUGUGUUGCACAGCAUGACCCACGAAAAGACAACUGAAGGGAAUCACAAAUUUGAUGUAGCUUCUGUAAUUAGGAGUUGCAUGGGUAUAAAAUGUCUCAGAUUUAAAGGAUGAGUAAUAAUCCAAACUGCAAGUAAGUGCAAGUCUAAAUUCCUUAGCAAAUCUCUGAGCAGUUGCAGCCUGCUUUGAACUUGCCUUGCUCAGGAUGAUGAAACAAAGAAAGCUUACAGCAAAUCUGACUCAAAAAAAAAAAAAAAAAAAAAAAAAAGAGGAGAAAGGAUUGUUUUUCUUUAGAAAAAUGUAGGAAGAUAGCACAGUUGCUUAGAUCUGCUUUUAAGUACAAGGCUUUCCAAAUCCGGGGAGAAGGUGGCUUCUUGGAGUCCGCACCUGACAGUGACCAGUGACUGCACUGAGAUUCAGAUCUCCGGCAGAAGGGCAGGGGCUGGGGCUUGGGGCUACGCCUCUCGGCAGGGAGUGCUCCAGCCCCCAGCCUGCUUCUCGGGCCUUGUUUAGUUUGGUUUUGCUAAGCGCUGCUGCUUUCGGUUCCUCUACAAUAGCAGAGCUUGUGUACAGAAAGGUCAACUUCAGGUCAAGC
rnacentral:lncRNA from 1 species